rnacentral:rRNA from 1 species
AGUAGCUUGCUACUCUGCCGGCGAGCGGCGGACGGGUGAGUAAAGUCUGGGGAUCUGGCUUAUGGAGGGGGAUAACCAUUGGAAACGGUGGCUAAUACCGCAUGAUGUCGCAAGACCAAAGUGGGGGACUUUAGGGCCUCACGCCAUAAGAUGAACCCAGAUGAGAUUAGCUAGUAGGUGCGGUAAUGGCGUACCUAGGCGACGAUCUCUAGCUGGUCUGAGAGGAUGACCAGCCACACUGGAACUGAGAGACGGUCCAGACUCCUACGGGAGGCAGCAGUGGGGAAUAUUGCACAAUGGGCGGAAGCCUGAUGCAGCCAUGCCGCGUGUGUGAAGAAGGCCUUAGGGUUGUAAAGCACUUUCAGCGGGGAGGAAGGCGGUAAGAGUAAUAUGCUUAUCGAUUGACGUUACCCGCAAAAGAAGCACCGGCUAACUCCGUGCCAGCAGCCGCGGUAAUACGGAGGGUGCGAGCGUUAAUCGGAAUAACUGGGCGUAAAGGGCAUGUAGGCGGUAAGUUAAGUCAGAUGUGAAAUCCCCGAGCUUAACUUGGGAACGGCAUUUGAGACUGGCGGGCUAGAGUUUUGUAGAGGGGGGUAGAAUUCCAGGUGUAGCGGUGAAAUGCGUAGAGAUCUGGAGGAAUACCGGUGGCGAAGGCGGCCCCCUGGACAAGGACUGACGCUGAGGUGCGAAAGCGUGGGUAGCAAACAGGAUUAGAUACCCUGGUAGUCCACGCUGUAAACGAUGUC